rnacentral:tRNA from 1 species
ACCUGGCUGGCUCAGUUGGUAGAGCAAGCGACUCUUGAUCUCAGGGUUGUGAGUUAGAGCCCCAUGUUGAGUG